ensembl:lncRNA
ACUAAAUCAUGUUCUUUUCUGGACAAGUGUAUAAGGGAGCAGACUAUUGAGAUCAAUAGAUUUAAAAAAAUGUCCUUAAGGAAUUAGCAUUUCUUCAUGUUCAUGAACCCAAACAAUAUUAUAAACAUUUUGAGGCAAAUACUAGCUGUGCUGGCCUUUUUCUCUCAGUAGGAGGCUGUCAAUCUUUCCAAAUUACAGGCCUUUGGCCAUGUGGUUCCUUCAAUGGGAGAAUUUUGCCUGUCUCCCUGGAGUGCUGGUUCCAGCUCAAACUUCAUAUGUGAACUUAAAGUGAUCCUGUCAGUUGGCUGUCCAAAAUUCCUUAUAGAAAGCUGAAAAUUCCUUCUGCACCCCCCCUUUUUUCUCUAACAAAGUAACUUGGUCAUUCCCCUAUUUAGCACUUAGCACAAAUUUAUGUAAUAUAUGUUUAUUUACUUUUCUUACUAAAUGAUCUUUUGCUAUACUGUAUGAUCUAUAAGGGCAGACACUGUGUCUGUUUUAUUUGCCACUGUGAGCUAGGUAUUUACCUAACUCAGUACUUGGUACAUGGUUGAAGUGGGGGGAAAAAUUGCCAUAUGAAUUAAUACCUCUCACACAUUAUUUAAGUGAUUAAAAUUUUAGUGAUUAAAAUUUAUUUAAACAAGAAGCUUAAAUAAGGAUAUUUCUUCUAACAUUCCUCUAGGUAUUUCUUGCUCCUUUGUCCUUUGAUAUAACAUCCACUUUGACACUGCUUCAUAGCUUCAUUGACUAAAAUGAAAAAUAUACAAAAACUAUCAGUUUGCUCAUCUCACCUUACAGCCAGUGUUUUCUGAUGUUUCAAAAAACCAUUCACAGGCAGGUUUCCCUGAUCCAUGAUCACAAUGGAGGGAAAUGUGAUAGGGGAGCUCCAGGUCACCAUCACACAAUGAAGACUUCCAGGUGCUUAGACUCAAAACAUCUAGACAGUUCAGAAGUUGAGAGAUCAAUCCCAAGAAACCUGGGUGCACCAGCCAGCUUACACCCCAUGAUGACUGAAAGAUCAUCCUUCCCAGGCCAAAGACAGCACAAGUUAAAACAGUGGUAACUUGUGGAGAGAAAAGUUCCUGUUAAUGCUAGAAGUAGUAUAAAAAAGCUAGACCCACAAAAUGUCUCCAGUAUCAAGAACACAAAAUUCAGAGGAUCUGUAUGAUAUCAGGGUUGGAUGAUUUGUUCUGAUAAUAAUACUGCAAAGAGGAUUCGAAACUGUAGAAGGUCUGAGAACAGAAAAGGAACAAAAACAGUAUUUGCCAACCCUUUAUAAAAGGUUACAUUAUCCAGGCUUUUGUUGUGGGGGCUUCUGUAGCCUUCUUGGCCACCACCCACAACCCCAUCUAACCUCAUAGCGGGAUGAAGUAAGUGGUAAGAUCUCUAUUAUCUCUUCUCCACAGGGCUAUUCUAAAUCUGUUUUAGGCUCGCAUUUUCUUUCUUUCUUUUUUUUUUUUAUAUUACUGAUAUUUAAUAUUCUUGCUCUAUUUGUGAGAGAAAUAUGUCGAGUUGAUUUGAAGAUAAUAUAAAUACAUCGGUUAUGUGAAAUAUUCCUAUAUUCAUUUUAGAAUGUUUAAAUAAAAUCUAUUAUUAAAAUAAAAAUCUACUAGAA